GCGCGGGGCUCGGGAGAGCGCGGAGUCCGGCAGGCUGAGAGCAGAGCCUGAGUGCGCCGCCGGUUCAGCCGGGCAGGGUCGCCUCGCGCCAGGAUGCUGCGCCCCGCCGCCCUGUCCAGCCAGCAACCCUGGCGCGACCCCGGGAAGAAGCACAGGUUCUUUCGUCCAGUCGCCACUGGAGGACCGAAAGUUUUGCUCGCUGCAAGUCCCUUCCUCCCAGAGUCCCAGUCACCCACCAUGCGACGUCCCAGAAGGAUCCCGGAGGCUUAGUGGGGACGAAAUCGGCUGUUUUGCACCCCUCCAUCCUUAUCCCUCAGGAUGCCUUCAGGAGUCAGAAGCAAAGGGGAAAUGGACAUAACUCCGAGAAUCCGGUUUUGUUUCACAUUUAGAUAUGGUUCUUCUGGUGAAGAUAGAAGGCAAAAAAAGUGAAUUUCGCCUGGAGUCCUUGGGAGACUGAGGCAGCAGGAUUAGUGAAUGUCCAGCCUCAGCAACAGCUUUGCCACCAUGAGCUUCUUACCCUACCACAACUAGGAGACCUAAAUCUGGCUCACUGACAGCAUUUGAAGAUGCAAAUACUGCUAUGGAUUGUAAGGUGCCUGAGGAAUGAAAGGGGACAUAGCCAUUAUGACCCACCUCGUGAGAUUUUAGGGAAGAAAGAUCAUAGUGAUUGCAUCUAUUAAGAAGCCCUUGCUGACCUGCAUGGUGAGGCUCGUGUGAAAUUUCAGCAUGCGGGAGAUUGAGACAGAAGGAUCACAAGUUCAAGGCCACCCUAGGCUAUGUAUCAAGAGCUUGUUUUGAACAAAGAAAAAAGAAACGGCAGUACAUAAUUUCUCCUAAGGCUGGAGAUGAGGCUGUCAGCUGAGAGCUCCUGCUUGCCGAAGACCAUGGGCUGGAAUCCCUGCACUGCAUGGACCAGAUGUGGUGGCACAUGAAGAUCAAGGCUAUCCUCAACCACACAUGAGUUCAAGGUCAGCCUGGGAUACAUGCGAUCCUGUCUCAAAACAAAGAACAGUUCUUUCAAGAGGAAAUCUUAACAUUAGGGCUGUGCUGAUCCAAGACUCUUAUUCUCAGGCUCUGCCCAAUAUGAAAGAGAGUCUCCUGGCUGCCUUCAAAUCAAGAUGUAGAACCCUCGACUCUUCCGGGACCAUGUUUGCCUACACACUGCCAAAUUUCCUGCCAUGAUGAUAAUGGAUUGAACCUCUGAAACUGUCCAUGGUAAUUUGUUACAGUAGCCCCAGAGCUCUCCUUGCAGAUGAAGUAGAAGCCUGGGUCUAAAGAGACUUUGGCCUUGCCAACUGGAGAAAGUUUUCUUAGAGGAAGGCGCUGUCAGUGCAAAGUCCCUGUGGUGGAGUCCAUGAGCCAGAACACACUCCUCUGAGGAAGGAUGGAAAGCCUCUGUCAGGGGAGGCUGCUUCUGGCUGUUUUUGUCCUGCCUUGGAGCUAACCUGGAAGUAAGCAUGUGAGGCUCUUGAUCAAGUAUGAUUAAGGAGGAUUUUUUUGGAUUCAGCUACAGUCGGGUUUGGGCUUUAAACUCUGCUGGCAACGUGGAACAAAACUCAUGAUUGAGAUUGAACAGGGAGGAAACUGUCUUCCUAAGUCAGCAAAGGGACCCACAUUGAGUGUAUUGUUUGUGCAAAGGCCCCAGAGCUCAACAUCAGCAGAAAAUGUGACACGACAAAGCUGUCAGCAAAGGUGACAUGCACCUGCAAUGGUUUCAAGAUCAGGGCACACCUCAAGGGGCCUGGCAAGUGUGCUGCUUCCAGAGCUGUGACGGGGUAGCACAGCUUAUGGGGUCAUAGAAACAGAUAGUUAUUCACUUAUUCAUUCAAUUAAUAAAUGUUUAAUGAGCACCUAUCAAGUUCCCAACACCAACUAGACUUUGGGGAAAUAGCAGUGAGUGGGCCAUAGACAGCGAUGACUUCACAGAACUUACUGGAGAAGGACACAGCACGUUUGCUAUGUGAUUAUUACUUUCCACUAUUAUUAAAGUUUUUCGAUUAUU
ensembl:processed_transcript F730043M19Rik RIKEN cDNA F730043M19 gene